rnacentral:rRNA from 1 species
AUUGAACGCUGGCGGCAGGCUUAACACAUGCAAGUCGAGCGAGCGGCGGACGGGUGAGUAAUGUCUGGGAAACUGCCUGAUGGAGGGGGAUAACUACUGGAAACGGUAGCUAAUACCGCAUACCAUCAGAUGUGCCCAGAUGGGAUUAGCUAGUAGGUGGGGUAAUGGCUCACCUAGGCGACGAUCCCUAGCUGGUCUGAGUGUAUGACCAGCCACACUGGACCUGCGACACGGUCCAGACGCCUACGGGAGGAAGGAGUGAGGAAUAUUGCACAAUGGGCGCAAGCCUGAUGCAGCCAUGACGCGUGUGUGAAGAAGGCCUUCGAGUUGUAAAGCACUUUCAGCGAGGAGGCGUUACUCGCAGAAGAAGCACCGGCUAACUCCGUGCCAGCAGACGCGGUAAUUC